rnacentral:rRNA from 1 species
AUGCCUUGUUGCUCUAACAAUGAAGUUUCUACUUCCUCUAGUUCUUUUGUUAAUACUAACCUUGUAGAGGAAAAUAAAGAGCUCAAGGCCCAAGUCACCAGUUUGAAGAAAGACUUGGAAAAAUAUUGUGAUAAUAUCUUGAGUGUGCAAAAGGACCCUCAAGACAAAAUUGGACUUGAUUUCAUCUCCAACAAGAAGAAGUCCAAGAACAAGAAGAAGGGACGAGAUCAAGUCAAGAAUUCGGCCAACAUUAUUUGCUUCAAGUGCAAGAAUGUUGUACACCAUGUGAGAUCUUGUCCAUUGAAGAAGAAGGCUUCAAGUGUGAAGCAUCAAGGGAAGUGGCCUCAAGUUCAAUAUCAAGAUAAUGAAAGGCAUCUUCCCAUGCCUAACCAAGAUAAUGCUCUCCAAGUUGAAAAGGUAAAGAAGAAGAGAAAGGGGAGCACAUGUUGCUAUAUUUGCCGUAAGAAGGGACACAUAGCUUCAUCUUGUUCCAACGGUAACAUAUCUAAGCCUCCUAUAGUCAAUAAUCAUUAUUCGCUAAAGAAGGAUAUUGUUGGCAAUGUGUUUGCCAAGUUUGUGGGUUCCCAGAGAAGUUUGAAAGUGGACAAGACCAUUUGGGUUGCCAAGCCUAUUGUUACUAACUUCUUAGGACCCAACUUGGUUGGGGACCAUCAAGCACAAACUUGA